rnacentral:rRNA from 1 species
GACGAACGCUGGCGGCGUGCUUAACACAUGCAAGUCGUACGGUAAGGCCCUUUCGGGGGUACACGCGUGGCGAACGGGUGAGUAACACGUGAGUAACCUGCCCACAACUUUGGGAUAACGCUAGGAAACUGGUGCUAAUACUGGAUAUGUGCUCCUGCUGCAUGGUGGGGGUUGGAAAGCUCCGGCGGUUGUGGAUGGACUCGCGGCCUAUCAGCUUGUUGGUGGGGUAGUGGCCUACCAAGGCGGCGACGGGUAGCCGGCCUGAGAGGGUGACCGGCCACAUUGGGACUGAGAUACGGCCCAGACUCCUACGGGAGGCAGCAGUGGGGAAUGUUGCACAAUGGGCGCAAGCCUGAUGCAGCAACGCCGCGUGCGUGAUUACGGCCUUCGGGUUGGAAACCGCUUUCAGCAGGGACGAAGCUUUUUGUGACGGUACCUGCAGAAGAAGCACCGGCUAACUACGUG